GACGAACGCUGGCGGCGUGCUUAACACAUGCAAGUCGAACGGAAAGGCCCUGCUUUUGUGGGGUGCUCGAGUGGCGAACGGGUGAGUAACACGUGAGUAACCUGCCCUUGACUUUGGGAUAACUUCAGGAAACUGGGGCUAAUACCGGAUAGGAGCUCCUGCUGCAUGGUGGGGGUUGGAAAGUUUCGGCGGUUGGGGAUGGACUCGCGGCUUAUCAGCUUGUUGGUGGGGUAGCGGCUUACCAAGGCUUUGACGGGUAGCCGGCCUGAGAGGGUGACCGGCCACAUUGGGACUGAGAUACGGCCCAGACUCCUACGGGAGGCAGCAGUGGGGAAUGUUGCACAAUGGGCGGAAGCCUGAUGCAGCAACGCCGCGUGCGGGAUGACGGCCUUCGGGUUGUAAACCGCUUUCGCCUGUGACGAAGCGUGAGUGACGGUAAUGGGUAAAAAAGCACCGGCUAACUACGUG
rnacentral:rRNA from 1 species